CCCAACCCAAACCGACCCAAAACCCAUCCCCUUUAAUCAAAACCUAGCUCCUAGACCUAAAGAAUGAGAUCCCUUACCCGAAGAACUCAGCGCAUCUUUCCCCUUUUCCCUUUUACUUCUCAUUCCCUCUUCAUAUCCCUUAAAAACCAGAGAAAACGGCAAUACCAGGGUUCCCCUUUUCUUCUUCUCCAUUCCUCAUCUUCAACAGACAUACAUGCCCUCAUGAUCUGAUUUUUGCGCAUAAUUUUAGAGAACAGCUAAAAUCGGCGAAAUCGAAAAAAAAGGAUUUGAAAGCUAUGGUUAAACUUCUACUCACUUGUUCUAUUUUUCUGAAAAUUCAAGUGCAAACAAGUUUGGGAAAGAGCUUAUGAAGCUAGGAGUAGGGGCUGAUCUCGUCGAUGAUUUCACUGCUGUCCAUGUAGCUGAUUUCCAACAUAGCAUCGGUUCUUUCAGCCUUUGUCCUGGCAUUUAUUUUCGAUUUUUAUUUGUGUUUCAGGUAUGAAUCUCGAUUUGAAGAUGCUGUAAUUGUUGUUAGCUGCUUCGUUACGAUGAAAUUUGCAACAACAGUUCCCUUGUUUCUCUUAAAUUCAUUAAUGUUUUGUGCGAGCUUGAACUAUUGUUUUGCUGAAAUUUGUCGUGAACGUUCCCUUGUUUUAUGAUGUUCUGCUCCAUUUCUAGUACGGCUAACUCUUGCAAUUUCCAAUUUGCUUUCUGAAAUCCCCAUUUUAAUGAUCUUCUUCUUAUGUUGACGCCUUUAAGUCGAUUUUGGAAUUGAUGUUUAUAGAUAAUCCUAUGUUAGUUAAUCAUUCUGGUGCUUUAUCAUUUUCUCCCAUUAGUUAGCAUAGUCGUUGCUUAGUCAGUAGUGAAGCAGUUGAUAUAAAGGUUCUUGACACAGGAUAAUUCUUUGAACUCUACUCCGAAAUAUGUGAUCUUUUAACAGCUGAAUAAAAAGACAAUUCUGUGAUAGUUUUGCCCUUAACUGUUUCCAUGGAUGCAAUUACGUGCUUGGACUUGAUGAAAAGACAUUUUUGUUAAAAAAAAAACAUCUGAGUCAUAUUUUCAUAUUAUUGUUUUGUUGGCCUUGGAUUGCUGCAAUCUACAUCUUCCAAUUUUGAUGUUUAUUGAAUCUCAAGGGGUGUAACUCAAAUUUUCGAACUGACCCUUCAUCGGAAGAUCUCUCAUUUGUCAUAGCAUGUAGGCGCAUGUAUGGGUGAUUUACUAAUGUUUAGAUGAGUUCUGCAGUUUCACAUUUAUGCCAUUCACUUAUUAGGAUAUGACUUGCUAGUAAGUGAGUCUCAACUGUGAGGGAGGAGGCAAGAAGUAUGCUUUGGUGGAUCAGGGUUUUCAAUUCCUAUUCAUGUGCAAUUACCUCACACUUGGAUAAUGCUAUUAGUGUAUUUCAAACUUCUUAUUUGAUUUUUCAUACUUAGUGGGUUACCUUCAAUUAUUUUAUUUUUCUUGUUCGUUUUAAAUCUAUUUAGCAACUGGACCUCAUAUUUGUGUUAGUAAGGGAUAUUUUUGGUAUAUAAGUACUAACUUGAAAGUUGGGUUUUAAUGGUAUUUCAAUUGCUGGAAAUUUGCAUCUUUUGUUGUUCUUUUUCAAUCAUUUUAUUGCUUGAAUUCCUUUUGGUUAAUAUUGAAGAUUUUGACAGAAAUUUGAAUAUUGGAUGCAUUCAAAAUGAAUGUCUUUCCUUCGUUGUCUCACUUGAUUAUUCAACAAAGUUGAAGGAACGAGAAUUCUGGGCUUUAUGUUCCAAGUGUAGUUGCUGAUUAGCUUAUGGAAACAUUGGUUGUCUCUGCUUGGUAAUCACAGUGACUAUAUUAUCAUAGCAAUAAUAGUCUGCAUUAUCAAUAAAUCAAAUAUCGUAGCUUGCUUUAGACGCGAUUGAUAAACCAUCGUGAUUAUGGGUACGAUUUUUGUGACAUAGUUACUAUUCUUAAUUUUCCAAAUUCGGGUGUGCAUUUCAUGUGACCCGAUCAUAACAACUUCGAAUAUUAAUAAAUACACAUGUCGUGAAUCGCGGGUGCAUUUCAUGCAGCGUGGUUCGUGGUGUGUUCCAAAACAAACAAGUAUACGACAAUUGUAACUUGUUCAAGAAAUAAUUCCAUAAAUCCUAAAAGCGGUUAAAAUAAUUAAAAGGCGAUUAUAAAGCAAAAAUGCACAAUAGGUUUAAAACAUGUAGUAUAUAAGAUAAUAGGCCAAUAUUAAUAGUUUAAGCAACCGUGCUAGAACCACGGAACCCGGGAAUGCCUAACACCUUCUCCCAGAUUAACAUAAUUCCUUACUUAGAAUUUCUGGUUCGCAGGCUUUUAAAAUAAAGUCGAAAUUUCCUCGAUUUUGGGUUUUAAAAUAAACCGGUGACUUGAGACACCAAAUAAACUAUUCCAAGUGGCGACUCUGAAAUAAAUAAAAUAAAAUAAAAUAAUCCCAUUUCGAAUAAUAUCACUUUAAUUGGAAAAACUCCCUUAUAUACCCCCUCGGGGUGGUAAAAAGGAGGUGUGACAGCUUUGGCAACUCUACUGGGGAUCAUAACCCAGAACUUGAGGUUCAGGGUUCAAGAAUUCGAGCUUAGAAUAGAUGUUAUACUUGGCUUUAUUUAUUAUCUGAUUUUUACAUGUUUGAGCCUAAUGUGCUAGUUGUCGCUUUUUACCGCUUUGAUAUUAUUGAACUGUAUAUAAAUUGUUAUGAAACCCUAUUCUCUCUGAGUCUUCUGAAUCAUCUGGGAAGUGUGUAUUUCGUGUGACUUCUCUUCUAUUAGAGUCAUAUCCUAAUUUUAGAACGAGGUUCAGACAAGUUGCAAAGCCGGUGAAGCUUCUGUAUUCCCGGUACGCUGCUCCCCUCCGGCUCGAGCUAUCCGCUCGAGUAGGCCAGGUCUAGAACAAUAUACCUAGGUUUUUAAACCUAGUAUAACACAGCCUCAUGCCGGAUCCCUAGUAGGAACGUUUGUUUGCGUCACGUUUAUUUGACUUUGGGGACUCAACACAGAGGUUUGGUCCGUCUAGGACAGGUGUAUCCGAAAUAAAAAGACCAUCCUGAUGCAUUUUACUUGCUACUUGUACAUUUAUUUUCUUCGGAUUGCAUGUUGACCGGCUUCUAGAAUAAGGAAGAAAAGUUGGAAAAACAAAUAUCAAAUUGAGGUAUGAGAGAGAUAACUACUCGUCUUUGAAAAUUUGGUGUCCAAAAUGUACCAAAACUCUACCAAAAAAAAGAGAGAAAAGAAAAGGAGAAAAAAAGGAAGAUUGUUUCAAAACAAUAUUUCAUGUUUUUCUGUUGCGUCAAAAUUGACCGAACUACGCGGGUCUGACUCUCACCGGAUAUGAGAUACGUAGGCAAAUCUCAUCGAUUCUGGCCCCAAUUUUAAAAAAAAAAUCCAAAAAUAUUUUCCUUUAGUUCCUUGUUUAGAAAUAUUUCCUUAGAAAAUGCAAAAAAAAAAAGAAGAAGUUUUCUUUAAACUCAAAAAAAAAGAGUAGUUUCUUUCUUUCUGAAGUCUUUCAUACGGAAAAAAUGAAAUAAUGAAAAAUCAAGGUCCAAAAUACGGGCUUUCUUCAUUUUGAAUUUUUUUUCCCAAAAAAAAAAAAUCAGAAACAAAAAUCCAAAAAUAUUCUUUUAUUCUUUCAAAGUCUUUCUUUUGUAAAUGUCCAUAAAAAUUGAGAAAUAUAAGUCCAAAAAUAUUUUCGCUUUUUUUUAAAGUACUUUCAUAAAUAUAAAAAAAAGAAAAAAAAAACUCAGAAAUCCAAAUUAUUUUUUUUAAAAAGUCCCUCUUUCGAAAAUUAAGAGGCAACAUUCAAAAUCCAACAAUAUUUUCUUUCUUCUUUAGAAAAAGAGAAAACAAAUGAAAAUUCAAACAAAAAUAUUUUCCUUUUACUUUUGAAAUUCACAAAGUUCCAAUCAAAAGAAAAGGAUUUUUAAGAAGGCUUUCUGUCAAAAAUAAAAUCAAAAUAAAAAAAAAUAAUAUAUAUUUCCUUUCUUCUUUUAAAGCAUUUCUUUUGAAAAUCCCAAAAAAAAAACUAAGAUUUGAAAAACAAUGUUUUUCUUUUGCCUCAAAGCUUUCAUGGUCUGAUUGUUAUAAAAAAAAAAGAGUUAGUUUAUUUACUCCAUUCCCAAUCUUCCUGAACUACGCAAGAUCUGAUUCGUGCGGCGCCAUGAUAUGUAGGCAAUCCCCAUCAGAUUCAAUCAUAACCAUAAAAUAAACUGAGUGAAAAAGUAAACUGAAAAAAAAAGAGAAGAAGAAAAUUGAGUGAAAAAAAGAGAAAAAGAAAAAGAGUGAAAAAAAGAGGAGCGAUAAGAAAUAAAAAAGUGACAAACAAAAGAGAAAAAGAGAGUGCCAAAAAUAAAAGAGCGGCAAAAACGAGAUGGAAAAAUCAAGAGUGAUUAAAGAGAGGCAGAAACAAAAGAAAAGACUGAAAGGGUUAGUUAAGGCCGGGAUGAAACAUGCAACUGUUCAAACACAUGGUAGAAACGUUUAACUGUUUAGGUGCAUUACAUCCAAACGUGUAAUUUUCUAUCUGUUAAGCGUCUCAUAACUAACAAGAUUGUUGGGUGUGCAAAAUAGCCAGGUUUUGUUGGUUGGUUUUGUUGGUAGUCUAGCCUCCCCUCCUUCACAAGAUCCAAAGGCACAUAUGGCCUCCGCGAGCAAUCUACCAAUUAUCGGUCCUGAGGAUAGCUUGACAUUGACUAUUCUGCAGCUAGAAUCAGCAGCUGCUGAAGAGAAUAGGAUGUUGCGUCUCCGCAUAUUGAAAAUGUGGGACGCCUGGUCUAAUGGUAGGGAACCGCCAAGUGCAAUCCCUGGGUUUCUUGAGUUGAUCCCCAUGUCAGGUGAGGUUACCAACGCCCCUGUGCCCAACCCGCUCAUCCCAUGCGGGCACCCUCCAAUGUCGUUCAAUGAUCCUGGCAUGCCUUCUGUGGUUCUCCCAUGGCGCCAGUUUCCUGGGCACCUCCAAUAUUGUUCUCUACAGCACCAGUCUACACCAGAACACAACCAACUUUACCACGGCCGUAUGUUGAGCCUCCAAUAUUCAUCUUUCAGGGUCCACAGCUUCAAUCAGAAAUAACAUAUGUGACCCCGUACUCUUUCACUCAACCUCCGCAAUAUGAUCUCUCGGUGGAGCAAGAAAAAGUGGUUAGAAAUCCCGAGCAAGAGGAAAUGGCUCGAAAGAUAAAGAGCCUGGAACAAAGCCUAAAAAACAUGCAAGGUCUGAGUGGCCAAAAUAGUGUCUCAUACUCUGACCUCUGUAUGUUUCCCCAUGUCCACUUGCCAGCUGACUUCAAGAUGCCAAAAUUUGAAAAUACAACGGGCACAGAGACCCGGUUGCUCAUCUGAAGCGAUACUGUAACCAAUUGAGGGGUGCUGGUGGAAAAGAGGAGCUGCUAAUGGCCUAUUUUGGGGAAAGCCUCACCGGAAUCGCUUCUGAGUGGUAUACGGAUCAAGAAAUUACCCAUUGGCACGUGUGGGACGAUAUGGCCUAAGAUUUUGUCCACCAGUUCCAGUAUAACGUGGACAUCGCUCCCGACAGAAACUCUUUGUCCAAUUUGAAAAAGAAAACCGCGGAAAGCUUCCGCGAAUAUGCUGUCAAAUGGCGUGAGCAAGCUGCCAGGGUAAAGCCUCCAAUGGACGAAAUUGAAAUGGUCAUGGUCUUUCUACAUGCCUAAGAGGCGGACUACUUCCAAAAAAUGAUGUCCGCUAUGGGUAAACCGUUCGCUGAGGAUAUCAAAAUUGGAGAAAUGGUUAAAAACGGUUUAAAAACAGGUCGAAUCUUGAGUCAUGCUGCUUUUAAGGCCACAUCACAGGCUGCUCAGAAUGGUUCGGAGGGUUUGAUGAACAUAAAUAGGAGUAAAGAGGGAGCCAUGAUGGCUUCAAGCUUGAGGGGGGCCCGCAGGUCAUUCAGUCAAUCAUAUAUGCUUCAUGAGGUCCCUCAACACUAUUGUCCCCUUCAAAAUGCUUCUAAUACCGUGGCACCACCUCCCUAUGCGGUGAUGAACGCGCACCCUUACACGCGGCCACAAUAUUAUCCACAAAACCGAACUCCACCUCUCAUAAAUGCCCAUCACUACCAAUCUCCAUAUAAUCCCCAACCAAAUGUUCCCCAAUCCUCGCCAAAGAGAGCCUUUCAAAAAGAUUCAGUUCACGUCUAUUGGUGAAUCGUAUUCAAGCUUGUUCCAAAAGCUAAUCAGGCUAAAUCUAUUGCAACCAUGGCCCCGAACCGGCCAAACCCCGAGUCCCCCCUCGCACCAAGCUAAUGCUAGAUGUGAAUACCACUCUGGAGCAGUGGGAUACAGUAUAGAGGACUGUUGAACCCUCAAAAGGGCAGUUGAAGAUUUGAUUGAAGCUGAAAGAAUUGUUUUUUAGGAUGAAGAAGCUCUUGAUGUGAACAAUCUGUUGCCUGCACACAACAGCGGGCCAAUAGUCGAAAUGAUUUGUGAAGUUGAGGAAUUUGAUCCGGUACUAAAGGCCAUUGCAGCCAUGGCCGAAACAGAAGAAAAUCCAAAAAACGGUCGCCAAGCCUGAAAGUUCCCUAUCAGACGGGAGUCACGGUAGCCAGUCUUGCUAUCCUUUCUACGUCCGGAUUAUCUCAGGGUGUGAUCUGGAUGUUUUACUUUAUUGUCUUACUUUCCGAUAUAAAUCCUUCUAUCUACAAAAAUCAAAAAAUAAUAAUAAAAAAAAAUAAACAAAAAUAAAAUGAAAUCAAUAUUUUAUUGUCCAGGAAUGUCUCUUUUCUUAAUCUUGUCAUUUUUUUCUUAUUCUCUUUUUAGUUCUGUUAAAUGUAAAUUUCAAUAACAUGACAUGCUUGCGGACUUCAUGCCCAAAUCCUGAAAGCUGUCAGACCCCGAAAUAAUGAAUCAAGAAUUAGAUCGCAAUGAAGAUACGUUUAAGGAAAUAAAACAAAGAGUUAGAACAGCUAAAGGAAAAUUAGCUUCAGAUUGGAAAGGUCCAUACAUUGCAACAAAAAUACUGCCAAAAGAGUGUGUUCUGCUUGAGACACAUCGAAGGAAAUAUCCCUCAAACAAUUGUCAAUGCAAAUGUAGUCAAAAGGUACUAUGUUGAAUCCUCUAUAUAAUAUUAAUGUUCUCCGAUUGGGAUGAAGAAAGCCAGAAGGCUUUCUUUCUCACUAUCCAAAUAUUCAACCCUUUGCAAACCCUUUGAGUCGGUCACACCAAAACAAAAAUCCAAAUUCCCCAAAAGUGAAACUGGGGCAGAAGUUACAAUGGUUCGGCGAUGGUUUCGCCUGAAAGGUUCCAAAGUUGUAAUUUAAUCCAAAUUCUUUUUACCCCAAAUCUUGUUCAAGUCCUUCCGAUCAAUCGGUAAAAGAUGUUCAAAAUUGGAGGAUACAGUUGCUUAGAUCUGAUAAAACAAAAUGAGAGAAAUAAAAUGAGAGAGUCUUAUUGGUGAAAACCCACACGGACAUCGCGAGGCGAUGGUAAGUAGAGAAAGGAAAUGAGAGAGUCUUAUUGGUGAAAACCCACACGGGCACCGCGAGGCGACAGUAAGCAGAGAAAUUGAAAUGAGAGAGUCUUGUUAUUGAAAACUCGCAAGAGCACUACAAGGCAAUGGUGAGAAGAGAAAUAAGAGAGGCCGGCUCGUGAAAACCCGCAAAGGGCACCACUGAUCGAAAAGAAGAUCUUCAGUCACUGACACUGACGCAGUCCUAAGCAAGGUUUCUCGAUUUCGAGGCAAAAGUUGUGAUGAAUUUAUGAGAUUUGGACGGUUUGAACAGAUCAGGCAUCUAGUCCAAAAGGCAUGUCAUGUUCAUCGAAGUCCGCAUGUACUCCAGAUAAGCCCUUCUUUCCUUUACCUGAAAGGGAUACCUCUUGUCUAAAUUCAUUUAUCAAUUCCUUUGUUUGUUUUUAAUUUAAAUCCCUUUUGGUCUAACUCUAUUCAGAAACUAAGACAAAGAAGGGAUGAUAAGACUGAUUUACAGGGGUCUCAUUUCAUACAAGCCAAUAUACAAAAAGGCACCCAGCCUCGUCAGGGGGCAUUAAGUCGACCUCGAUAGCCAUGGGGACCGAUGCUUCGAAAUCAGAACUCUCGGAAGGAGAAAAUCAAAAUGAAGUGCCUACAAAGGCAAAAUGAAGUUGAAAGGUUGAGUCACACGUGACUAACUGUCUCGGCAAAGGUUUUAAAAGCCAAGGUACCCAAAUGCUCUGAAAUGGAAGUUGGAAGAAAGAAGCCAGAAAUGAAAGGCCUAUGAAGGUGAAAUAAAGUUGAAAAGGGUUAAUUCCCCCGUGACUAGCCAUUGCGACAAUGAUUGAGGAGCCAAAAGUUCCCCAAUGCUCCGAAGUUAAAAAAAAAGAAAAAAGAAAAAAAAAGGAAAAGAAACGAAAAGAAAAGGAAGUUAGAAAGGAAAGGCCUACGAAGGCAAAAUAAAGUCGAAAAGGUUGGGUUCCACCGACCAACCGUCAUGGCAAAGUCUAGAAAAAACCAGAAGUUCUCCAGGGCCUGAAAUGAAAUCGGUCCUUAGGGAACAAACAGUUGCAGCUGAGAUUUUCAUUCAAGAAGUCGGGCCGAGAUCGAGUGAUUGAAACAAUCAAGGCCACAAAACCAACCACCAUUUCAAACUAACAAUUGUUCUUUGUUUGAAAACAUGAAACAUGUGCAAUCCAAAGCAACCUUGCAAAAAGCAGAUGCAACCAAACAGAAAACUGCGCAGGGGCUAGAAACAACUUUGCGGCAAAAAUUAAUCCAAAAGGGAAGUCUCCUCUAAAUUCUUUCCUGCAUUUUAAUCAUUUUCUUAAAUAAAACAAAAAAAAUGAAAUGAAUAAGAAGAAAAAUUCAAAAUCAUGGUAGCAUAGGGUAUCCAAUCUUUAGCUACAUCCUUUCCAACAUAAGGUCCCAUUCCCUAGUCGAUGCCAGCAUAACCUGGUAAUCUUUUCUCACAUAGGGUCCCAUUCCCUAGUCAUUGUCAGCAUAACCUGGUAGUCUUCUUCAAUAUAGGGUUCCACUCCCUAGUUGAUCCCCGACAUAACCCGAGGACCUUUUUCUUUUGCGGCAUAACCCUACCACUUUCCCAGCAUAACCCGUAGACCUCCCUAGUAUAACCCGAGGACCUUUUUCUUUUCCGGCAUAACCCGAUGACUAUCCCGGCAUAACAUGUGGACCUUCCUGGCAUAACCCGUGGACCUUUUCCGGCAUAACCCGAUGACUUUCCCAGCAUAACCCGUGGACCUCCCUGGCAUAACCCGAGGACCUUUUUUUUCCGGCAUAACCCGAUGACUUUCACGUCAUAACCCGUGGACCUCCCCGGCAUAACCUGAGGACCUUUUUAUUCCCGGCAUGACCCGAUGACUUUCUCGGUAUAACCCAUGGACCUCCCCGGCAUAACCCGAGGACCUUUUUCUUUUCUGGUAUAACCCGAUGACUUUCCCGGCAUAACCCUUGGACCUCCCCAGCAUAACCCGAGGACCUUUUUCUUUUCCGGCAUAACCGAUGACCUUCCCCGACAUAACCCGAAGACCUUUUUUUCUUUCUUUUCUGGCAUAACCCGAUGACUUUCCCGGCAUAAUCCGAGGACCUUUCCGGCAUAACCCGGUCAUUUUUCCAGCAUAACCUGGUAAUCUUCCCAACUUAGGGCUUCCGAUCCCCAUUUGAUUGCAUUUUUGAUAUAGGGUCUCCACUCCCUAAUCUCUUUUUCUCAGGGAUACACAAUCCCGGUUUUAAUUGCUUUCAAUAAAGAAAUAGUUUAGAUUUUUGUUACAAUAACUCACGAAAUUUUGCUAGUGAAAACUAGGGCAGAAAAUUUUGUUCAUUUGUUCGCUUUGGUUCCUGAACAGGUUUUUACCGUGAGGCACAAGGUUUGAGAUGACCAAAAGAAGAAGUCUCAACCCAAAUAAAAGAAAAAAAGAACAAGAAAAGAAGUUGAACUCUAAUUAUAGAAACGGAGAAAAGAUGCGGACUGCUCAAGAUAUUAUUGAAGUCACAAGCUUUGCAUGUCCUGCCUUGACUCAAAAAGCUGAAGAAGAAUGAACCAGCGGUUGCAGCUAACGAGCAUCAAGAUUCAGAUCAGAGUCUGCAGGAAGAACUAGCCAAGACUCAAGAUCAAGCUUCAGAAGAUUUAUAGAUAGGAAUCUUGUAACUCGUAGUUGAUAGGCUUAGCUAGUUUAACUUUUUAUUUUUCAUUUUGGUGUAAUAAGGAGCUCAACAAGCAGAAACACUAGCAACGCAAUGAAAUCACAGUUUCUCGGUAGUCCCAGCUACCAAAACUUCCA
rnacentral:lncRNA from 1 species